AACGAACGCUGGCGGCAUGCCUAACACAUGCGAGUCGAACGAGACCUUCGGGUCUAGUGGCGCACGGGUGCGUAACGCGUGGGAACCUGCCCUUAGGUUCGGAAUAACUCCCCGAAAGGGGUGCUAAUUCCGGAUAAUGUCUUCGGACCAAAGAUUUAUCGCCUUUGGAUGGGCCCGCGUUGGAUUAGCUAGUUGGUAGGGUAAAAGCCUACCAAGGCGACGAUCCAUAGCUGGUCUGAGAGGAUGAUCAGCCACACUGGGACUGAGACACGGCCCAGACUCCUACGGGAGGCAGCAGUGGGGAAUAUUGGACAAUGGGCGAAAGCCUGAUCCAGCAAUGCCGCGUGAGUGAUGAAGGCCUUAGGGUUGUAAAGCUCUUUUACCCGGGAUGAUAAUGACAGUACCGGGAGAAUAAGCUCCGGCUAACUCCGUG
rnacentral:rRNA from 1 species